AAAUUGAAGAGUUUGAUCAUGGCUCAGAUUGAACGCUGGCGGCAGGCCUAACACAUGCAAGUCGAGCGGUAGCACAGAGAGCUUGCUCUCGGGUGACGAGCGGCGGACGGGUGAGUAAUGUCUGGGAAACUGCCUGAUGGAGGGGGAUAACUACUGGAAACGGUAGCUAAUACCGCAUAACGUCGCAAGACCAAAGUGGGGACCUUCGGGCCUCAUGCCAUCAGAUGUGCCCAGAUGGGAUUAGCUAGUAGGUGGGGUAAUGGCUCACCUAGGCGACGAUCCCUAGCUGGUCUGAGAGGAUGACCAGCCACACUGGAACUGAGACACGGUCCAGACUCCUACGGGAGGCAGCAGUGGGGAAUAUUGCACAAUGGGCGCAAGCCUGAUGCAGCCAUGCCGCGUGUGUGAAGAAGGCCUUCGGGUUGUAAAGCACUUUCAGCGGGGAGGAAGGCGAUAAGGUUAAUAACCUUGUCGAUUGACGUUACCCGCAGAAGAAGCACCGGCUAACUCCGUGCCAGCAGCCGCGGUAAUACGGAGGGUGCAAGCGUUAAUCGGAAUUACUGGGCGUAAAGCGCACGCAGGCGGUCUGUCAAGUCGGAUGUGAAAUCCCCGGGCUCAACCUGGGAACUGCAUUCGAAACUGGCAGGCUAGAGUCUUGUAGAGGGGGUAGAAUUCCAGGUGUAGCGGUGAAAUGCGUAGAGAUCUGGAGGAAUACCGGUGGCGAAGGCGGCCCCCUGGACAAAGACUGACGCUCAGGUGCGAAAGCGUGGGGAGCAAACAGGAUUAGAUACCCUGGUAGUCCACGCCGUAAACGAUGUCGAUUUGGAGGUUGUGCCCUUGAGGCGUGGCUUCCGGAGCUAACGCGUUAAAUCGACCGCCUGGGGAGUACGGCCGCAAGGUUAAAACUCAAAUGAAUUGACGGGGGCCCGCACAAGCGGUGGAGCAUGUGGUUUAAUUCGAUGCAACGCGAAGAACCUUACCUGGUCUUGACAUCCACAGAACUUUCCAGAGAUGGAUUGGUGCCUUCGGGAACUGUGAGACAGGUGCUGCAUGGCUGUCGUCAGCUCGUGUUGUGAAAUGUUGGGUUAAGUCCCGCAACGAGCGCAACCCUUAUCCUUUGUUGCCAGCGGUCCGGCCGGGAACUCAAAGGAGACUGCCAGUGAUAAACUGGAGGAAGGUGGGGAUGACGUCAAGUCAUCAUGGCCCUUACGACCAGGGCUACACACGUGCUACAAUGGCAUAUACAAAGAGAAGCGACCUCGCGAGAGCAAGCGGACCUCAUAAAGUAUGUCGUAGUCCGGAUUGGAGUCUGCAACUCGACUCCAUGAAGUCGGAAUCGCUAGUAAUCGUAGAUCAGAAUGCUACGGUGAAUACGUUCCCGGGCCUUGUACACACCGCCCGUCACACCAUGGGAGUGGGUUGCAAAAGAAGUAGGUAGCUUAACCUUCGGGAGGGCGCUUACCACUUUGUGAUUCAUGACUGGGGUGAAGUCGUAACAAGGUAACCGUAGGGGAACCUGCGGUUGGAUCACCUCCUUA
rnacentral:rRNA from 1 species